GACGAACGCUGGCGGCGUGCUUAACACAUGCAAGUCGAACGGAAAGGCCCUGCUUUUGUGGGGUGCACGAGUGGCGAACGGGUGAGUAACACGUGAGUAACCUGCCCUUGACUUUGGGAUAACUUCAGGAAACUGGGGCUAAUACCGGAUAGGAGCUCCUGCUGCAUGGUGGGGGUUGGAAAGUUUCGGCGGUUGGGGAUGGACUCGCGGCUUAUCAGCUUGUUGGUGGGGUAGUGGCUUACCAAGGCUUUGACGGGUAGCCGGCCUGAGAGGGUGACCGGCCACAUUGGGACUGAGAUACGGCCCAGACUCCUACGGGAGGCAGCAGUGGGGAAUAUUGCACAAUGGGCGGAAGCCUGAUGCAGCAACGCCGCGUGCGGGAUGACGGCCUUCGGGUUGUAAACCGCUUUCGCCUGUGACGAAGCGUGAGUGACGGUAAUGGGGAAAGAAGCACCGGCUAACUACGG
rnacentral:rRNA from 1 species